rnacentral:lncRNA from 1 species
GCUUUCUCAAGCAAAAUUUGAAUGGUUUCAACUUGGUUUCUCCAGAUCUAAGUGGUCCUACAAGCACAAUAUUUCUAUUCCCUCCUUCUCUUAAUUCAUCCAGCAAGAAGAGAAGCAAGAUUCUCUUCAAUCUGCCUUUCAAUGUAGUGGUUAAAAGUAAUCUUUGUGCCCUGCUACCUCAGAGUGUUCUGAUUUAGACUGCUAAAAUUAGAAGAUGGGGAGACUUGAUUUAAAAGAUGAAGUUUUCCAACUACAUGGUUAUUUGAGUUUCUUCGGAAGAGGGAGAGGAAAGAGAAAUAACCAGGUACCAUUUUACGGAAGGAGC